AUGGUUUCUUUGAGUUGCAGAGGAAAGUUUCCUCCCCAAUCAUUAGAUCUGAACUGUGCUUGGUUCAUGUCUAUAGCAAACAAAAGUACCUUUAAAUUCUUCCUUCUCAGUCUGUUACUCACUUUCUGGCUCGUCAUUACUGCAGGUGCAGUUGCAGUGGUCGCAGCUGCGGCAGCAGCCAAUAUGAAGCACAAUUAAAUAAAUGCCUAAUGAAAGGAGCAUCCCAAAACCAUACAUCUGGAAGAGGAGAAAAAAAAGGCAAAAUCAGUACAUUAAGAUGAUACAAAAACAAUUGAUGAUAGCAUUAUCAUAUCAUUUCAUUCAGAAGAUACUUUUAUCCAAAAGUUACAUUACAUUUACAGGGAUAAUCACAGGGAGGUAAAAUGAUGUGCAGACUGAUCAUAUUUAUAUUCCCUUUAAUCCAUUUGUCUUUCUAUGUUUUUUUUUCUUACACAGAAACAUAGAUGUUAUGACAUUCAUCCUUUUUAAGCAUGUACAAUUUUAGAUAGAUACAAUUAUUCCUAAACACCAGAAUAAAAUGCAAGUAUGGGGGGGCUUCAGUUGUUUCUGUUUUUGUGUAUAAUUUCUUUCCUUUUUUUAACAUAACAUUUUUGAAGACGGUGUGAAUUCUUUAAUUAUAUGACUUACCUGUGACUUGACAAUAAAGCUGAGCGUCAGAGCCUGGAGCUCGGUGUCAUUUCUUCCUGGAAAUGAGUCAGUGGGUUUACACCAUCUCAAAUGUAGCUGAUCAUCUGAAACAUACACUCCAUUCCAGUCUGUGUCUCGACAGGCAACAUAGUCACCAUCAAGGAGCACAAGAACGAUCCACACAAAAGGUGGAAUCAGGCAAAGAAACAACAUUUUUAAAGGUUGAAAUACAGAAGAUUUAAAUUUAAUCUGCUGUAAAAUAAUACACAUUGAAGCAAAAACUAAAAUAAAAGGGCCAGCAAAGAUGAGGUUUGUUAUUAUCGGAUUCAGUUUAGCAUCGCAUGGGCAUAUAAAAUCUUUAUCAAUCAAAGCCUCCAAAGGAAAUAAUAAAAUGAUCAUUGGAACAGAGAUGGCAAGAGCCAGUUUGUCCAGCUCUCUUUUACACUUUUCAAUUGUUAAAGGCAUGUUUUGAGGUCUACACAGUUCUCAACAGGUAAAUUUGAUGAUGCUUUGAAUGCUCCUCUGUUUUAUGGUCUCAGGAAAUGCUCGUAAUCUGGCAGAUCAGAUGCUCAGGAAAUUCUCAAGGCUGGACAGGUCCCCUACAGUCAAUAAAAAAAAUUUGUUUACACAUUGUGUUUUUUAAUAUUUAAAGAGUACAAACUAUACAUUUCUGCUUGUAUUUGUGUGUGUGUACCUAUAAAUUAUAUUCAUUCAAAAUUUAGAUUUCUAAAUUAGAUGCACGAAAAUACAACUUUCAAUAUAAAUAUACAGUAUUAAAUAUAGAAAUAUAUAAAAAGGAGACCAGGAUUUACUUUUGUAUAUGCUCUUCCUGUCUGCUGUGAUGUGUUGUUGAGUUUCAGUUUCUGCUCACAAAAAUGCUACAUGCAAUGACGGCUACAAUAAAACAUGCAUAACAGAGAGAGAGUAACAUUACAUUGUUUUUUAUUUUUUAUUUUUUUUAAAUAAAAGCUGUGUAUGUUUGUUCUUCAUGACUCAAAGAGCCACAAGUGGUAAACAUGCCUUUUAAAUGGUUAAUGAUCUCUUACUGUCAUUUUAUUUGACAUAUUUAUUGCAUAUUGUAGGCCAUUUACCUGUUUGUAGUGAGUCACAAGAGCUAUUAAUGUUCAUAUUUGCAAAUAUAAAUUCCAAUUAAUGAAAAAAAAAAGAAUAUAUAUAUAUAUAUAUAUAUAUAUAUAUAUAUAUAUAUAUAUAUAUAUAUAUAUAUAUAUAUAAUAUUAAACAAUAUUUAUAAUUAUUAAUACUAGAAAAAAUCUGUUCACUUUCCAAAUUAGAUAAGAAUAAAUAUACAUGUCUUUGCAGGAAACACAUUGUCAUUUUAAUAUGUAAUAGUUUACAUUCUUACCAUGCAUUAUAGCCUUUUACCUUUUAAAAAAUGAAGUACUGGAGUUCAGUCUAAUUUCCUCCGUUUCAUAAGUCACUGGAAACAUACAAUAGCAUCUUCAGAAUCAAGAAUGAAAGGAAAUGUUGCUUUAUAAAGUGGCAGACCUCAUGACUAAAACAAAAAUUGGUUUCACUUCGUGAUUGCCAUGUCAGCUUUUUUUUUUUUUUAAUCUUGGUUAAGUGAAGUGAAAAAAAGUGAAAGUGACAUUCAGCUAAGUAUGUUGACCCAUACUCAGAAUUCGUGCUCUGCAUUUAACCCAUCCAAAGUGCACACACACAGGGGUGAACGAACACACACACACACCAUGAACACACACCCGGAGCAGUGCGCAGCCAUUUAUGCUGCAGUGCCCGGGGGUCUAGUUGGGGGUUCAGUACCUUGCUCAAGGGCACCUCAGUCGUGGUGAUGCCGGCCCGAGACUCAAACCCAAGACCUUAAGGUUAGGAGUCAAACUCUCUAACCACUAGGCCACGACUUCCCCUAAUGAUUCUAAUAAUCUUGUUUAAUUUAUCACACACACACACACACACACACACACACACAGGGCCGCAUUAAGACUAUAAGGGGCCCCUGGGCUUUACCUCUUGAGGGGCCCUACCAGGGCUCGACAAUAAGGACUGCCCGAUUGCCCGAGGCUAGUGUGAAUGACGCUCGGGACAGUAGACGGAACGGUCACUUGCCUGAUCGGGCCAGUGCUGUAGGGUGUGCGUUAUAUGUAGUCUAUGAUAUCGUAAUUGUUGAUUUAACGAUCUGAUAUUAUCGAGUAUGCAUCUUACUUUACAAAAAACAAACAAAAACACACCCAUUCUGUGCACUACGUGACGUAGUCUAGUAGGUUAGACUUGUGCACGUGAUUUAGUCUUAAUGCCUCAGAAUUCAAAUAUGCCCCUGUAUAUAUUUCAUAUAAUUAAUAAUUUAAUAUCUAUGUUAACCAAUAUUACACAAAGAGUGCCGUUUUUCUCCAGAUAUUAGCAUGAUUACAAAUGUGAUGAUUUUAUUCAGCGUACAGUUUAAUAAACAAGAACUUAAUAUGAAGUGACUUACAUUUUAGACACCAAAUCAUCUGUUUCGCUGUAUUUCCCCAACGAAAAUGGUUCCAAAGUCCACAGAAUUGUUUUGCGUCUCUGAGCAACACUUCCUGAGUGAAUCAGCUGCUUGAAUGAAUCGGUUGAAUCCAUAGACUGUAAAAAAAUAUGGACGUAGUGUCCGUGACGUCACCCAUAGACUCCUCAAUAGCGGUUUUGAACUUGAAGCUCAAAGUGUGCAGAGCGGGCCGUCGCCAUCUUGGCAGCGCGUCACCGCGCGACUCUCCCGGAUAAUCGAAAAUAGGCAAAAAGGCGGGAGCUGGUUCCUGAAGCCACGCCCACCUAGCGCGACGGCAUUGUCAGCAGCGGCAAUCCACCUGUCACUCAAGUGGCCACGCCCUUAAUUAUGCAGAACUUUAAGGCUUAAUAUAAUUUAAACGGAUGAGUUAUAAAAAAAAU
ensembl:lncRNA